AGUGAACUUCUAGGUUCUGAGCUGACUCCUUGGAAACCCUAGACUCCAGGGACGCGCUUCUAGAACCUGCUCAGAUUGCUACUCAGUUAACAGCCUGGCCCAGGAGGAUUGCAACACCCAGCCUGGCUCCCAGGCUGGUCUCCAACUUCUGGCUGCAAGUGAUCCUCCCUCCUUGGCCUGGCAAAGUGCUGGGAUUACAGGGCCGCACACAUACAGAGCUGAACUUGUAUCGCCGUGUAGAUGAAGACAAACACCUUUAGGAGAUGGCAGAGAAACAAAAUGGGAAACCCUCAGGUCUCCAAAUGACUACACCAAGCAGAAUUGCCCCACCAGCCUGCACCAUUCAUUUCUAGACUAUGAGCAAGAAGUACACUUCCAUCUUAUUUAAACAACCAUAUUUGGGGUUUUUGUUGUUGUUAUUGUUGUUGUUAUAGGAGCUUAGCUUUUACUCUAAGAAAUACAGCUACUCAACUCACUUCAUUAGGAUCUUAACUAUAAUAUCAAAACCUCCUAAGCACAGAAUAAAAAAUACAGUAGAGCAAUAUCAUUUAUGAUCAUAGAUGCAGAGCUUCCAAAUGAAAUACUAGCAUAUUCAAGGAAAGAUAUAUAUACCAUGACCUAGUUGUGUUUAAUUUCUGGAAUUCAAAAAUGGAAUGUUUGACAUAAGAAAAUCUAUUAGGCCGGGCGCGGUGGCUCACGCCUGUAAUCCCAGCACUUUGGGAGGCCGAGGCAGGCAGAUCACGAGGUCAGGAGAUCGAGAUCAUCCUGGCUAAUACGGUGAAACCCCGUUUCUACUAAAAAAUACAAAAAAAAAAUAUUAGCUGGGAGUGGUGGCGGGCGCCUGUAGUCCCAGCUACUUGGGAGGCUGAGGCAGGAGAAUGGCGUGAACCCGGGAGGCAGAGCUUACAGUGAGCUGAGAUCGUGCCACUGCACUCCAGCCUGGGUGACAGAGCGAGACUCUGUCUCAAAAAAAAAAAAAAAAAGAAAAAAGAAAACAGUUUGGCAGUUCCUCAAAAAGUUAAACAUAGGAUGUUUGAAAAUUUAAACGUAAUAUGACCUAGCAAUUCAACCCCAGGUAUACAACCAAGAGAAUUGAAAACAGGUGUUCAAACAAAAACUUGUACAGGAUUGCUCAUAGCAGCAUUAUUUAUAAUAGCCAAAAGGAAGAAACUACUCAAAUGUCCAUCAGCUGAUGAAUGGAUAAACAAAAUAUGGUGUAUUUCUACAAUGGACUAUUAUUCAAUCAUAAAAAAUGAAAUGCUGAUAAAUGCCAAAAUUGACGAACUUUUAAAACAUGCUAAGUGGCUGGGUGGGGUGGCUCUAGUCCGUAAUCCCGGCAUGUUAAGAGGCCGAGGUGGGCGGGUCACUUGAGCCUGGGAGGUCGAGGCUGCAGAGAGCUGAGAUCGCGCUACUGCACUCUAGCCUGGGUGACAGAGCAGACCCUGUCUCAGAAAGAAAAGAAAAAACAGAAAAGAGAAAGAAGACAGGAGAGGAGAGAAGGGGAGGGGAGGGGAGGGGAAUGGAGAGGGGGAGGGGAGGGGAGGGGAAGGGGGAGGGAAGGGGAGGGGAGGGGAACAUCCUGGCCGGGUGCAGUGGCUCACGCCUGUAAUCCUAGCACUUUGGGAGGCCAAGGUGGGCGGAUUGCCUGAGCUCAGGAGUUCGAGACCAGCCUGGGCAACACGGUGAAACCCCGUCUCUACUAAAAUACAAAAAAAUUAGUUGGGCGUGGCGAUGUAUACCUGUAGUCCCAGCUACUCAGGAUGCUGAGGCAGAAGAAUUGCUUGAACCCAGGAGGUUGAGGUUGCAGUGACGCGAGAUUGCACCACUGCACUCCAGCCUGGGUGACAGAGUGAGACUCUCUCCCAAAAAAAAAAAAAGAAAAGAAAAGAAAAGAACAUGCUAAGUGAAAGAAGCCAGAGAAAAAAAGGCAACACAUUGUAUUAUUCCAUUUAAUGAAAUAUCCAGGAUAAACAAAUCCAUAGAAAUGAAGAGCAGCUGAGGGGUUGCUGGGGCUAGGGACGGGGGGGAUAUCAGGAAUGACUGCUUCAUGGGUACAGAGUUUUCAGGUGAUGAAAUCUUCUAGAAUUAGAUAAUAGUGAUGGUUGCACAACAUUAUGAAAAUACCAAAAACCACUGAACUGUACACUUUAAAAUUGUUAAAAUGGUGAAUUUUAUAUUAUGUGACAAUUUUGUAAAAGAAUUCUAUAUCCAAUGAAAAUAUUCUUCAAGAAUGAGAGGGAAAUAAAGGCGUUCUCAAGUGAAAAAUCAAGAGAAUUUGUCAUUAGUAGACUUGUUGUAAAAUAAAUACUAAAGAAAGUUCUUCAAACGGAAGAAAGAGGAUACCUGAAAGAAAUUUAGAACAUCAAGAAUGAAGACAGAGAAACAAAAAUGGUAAAAAUCUGGUUAAAUAUAAUAGACUAUUUUUAUCUUAAAUUCUUUAUAAUAUGUAUAUGUUGGGGCUCAGAAAACAACACCUCAAAAGUAUGGCGCUUUGGUAUGCUGAACACUUUGAACUAAAAUAGAAAGGACUUAGAAGCUACCUCAGAAUAAGGCCUUUCUGGCCUCAUCUGUUUCUAUCGCCUAGAGACUUCUAGAGACUUCUGGAGUCUCUAUCCCCCUAGAGACUUCCCCUAGAAUUUCCUUAUCUGACUAAGGAAACUUCUUUCCAAAAGAAAUGCAAUUGUCUUAAGAUCCCCUUCCUAGGAAUCUCAUCAAAUAAUCAGAAAAGAUUAACCACCAGAGAAGAAUGGAGACUAAAGUCAGAUGACUCUUCAUCUAGUCCUCUGAGGCAGUGCCAAGAGAUAACCUGGGAGGCUUUAUCUACCAGGUUAAGUUUCACCCCUCACCUUCCGGUAACUUGCUGGCGUCGUUUAGUUUCCUAGGAGAAUCAUUUACAAGAUAAUGUCUGAGCCUCCUGGGCCCAUUCAUUUCCCCUAAAAAUCAUUAACAACCCCUGCAUUUUCCCCAUCUCCCUCUUCCCUAUGAAGCAGAUAUAUAAGCCUCAAUCAUCUGGCCCUUUGGGUCUCAUAUUUAAUAUUGUACCCAUGUUUUUGUAUGUUAAUAAAUUUAUAUGCCUUUUUCUCCUAUUAAUCUGUGUAUUGUCAGUCAUUUUAGCA
rnacentral:lncRNA from 1 species